AUGAACGCUGACGGCGUGCCUAAUACAUGCCAGUCGAGCGAACGGACGAGAAGCUUGCUUUUCUGAUGUUAGCGGCGGACGGGUGAGUAACACGUGGAUAACCUACCUAUAAGACUGGGAUAACUUCGGGAAACCGGAGCUAAUACCGGAUAAUAUUUUGAACCGCAUGGUUCAAAAGUGAAAGACGGUCUUGCUGUCACUUAUAGAUGGAUCCGCGCUGCAUUAGCUAGUUGGUAAGGUAACGGCUUACCAAGGCAACGAUGCAUAGCCGACCUGAGAGGGUGAUCGGCCACACUGGAACUGAGACACGGUCCAGACUCCUACGGGAGGCAGCAGUAGGGAAUCUUCCGCAAAGGGCGAAAGCCUGACGGAGCAACGCCGCGUGAGUGAUGAAGGUCUUCGGAUCGUAAAACUCUGUUAUUAGGGAAGAACAUAUGUGUAAGUAACUGUGCACAUCUUGACGGUACCUAAUCAGAAAGCCACGGCUAACUACGUG
rnacentral:rRNA from 1 species